UACGUAGGGUGCAAGCGUUAAUCGGAAUUACUGGGCGUAAAGCGUGCGCAGGCGGUGAUGUAAGUCAGAUGUGAAAUCCCCGGGCUCAACCUGGGAACUGCAUUUGUGACUGCAUGGCUAGAGUUUGGCAGAGGGGGGUAGAAUUCCACGUGUAGCAGUGAAAUGCGUAGAUAUGUGGAGGAACACCGAUGGCGAAGGCAGCCCCCUGGGUCAAGACUGACGCUCAUGCACGAAAGCGUGGGGAGCAAACAGG
rnacentral:rRNA from 1 species